UCCGACGCGUUCGGGGAUACCUCCGGGGUGAUGCAUAUAAAAAUCUGCAAGAAACAAAAACAGAUUUAGAAAAUAUAUGCGUAUAUAAAAACACAAAAGGAAAACAGGCAAAGGAAGACCUUGUCGGCUAAAGGUAUCUUCAAUCGCGUGACCGACAGGCACAGCGAUAGGAUGCAAGAAGGCGAGCUUUUGCACGGAAGCUCCCUCUUCCUCAGUCAGAUCAGGACGAGGAAUAGGCUUACGGCCACUAGUGGAUGCAGGGAGAAGUCUGCUGCCAGGACAUAACCUGCAAUCCACGAAGAUGAACUCACUCUUGUUCCGCCUGGUCGGAGGAUCUUUCAAGAUAGCAGAGUGAGUAACGGAAGUAGAACGGCUGGCACAGGCAAUGAAAAGGCUGCCCUUCUUCGGAUUUUGAAAGGUGAAGAAGUGGAAGAACAGCCGAGCGGUAGGA
rnacentral:lncRNA from 1 species